rnacentral:rRNA from 1 species
AAGUCGAACGGAAAGGCCCUGCUUGCAGGUACUCGAGUGGCGAACGGGUGAGUAACACGUGGGUGAUCUGCCCUGCACUUCGGGAUAAGCUUGGGAAACUGGGUCUAAUACCGGAUAGGACCGCACUUUAGUGUGUGUGGUGGAAAGUUUUUUCGGUGUAGGAUGAGCUCGCGGCCUAUCAGCUUGUUGGUGGGGUAAUGGCCUACCAAGGCGGCGACGGGUAGCCGGCCUGAGAGGGUGUACGGCCACAUUGGGACUGAGAUACGGCCCAGACUCCUACGGGAGGCAGCAGUGGGGAAUAUUGCACAAUGGGCGCAAGCCUGAUGCAGCGACGCCGCGUGGGGGAUGAAGGCCUUCGGGUUGUAAACUCCUUUCGCUAGGGACGAAGCUUUUUGUGACGGUACCUAGAUAAGAAGCACCGGCUAACUACGUGCCAGCAGCCGCGGUAAUACGUAGGGUGCGAGCGUUGUCCGGAAUUACUGGGCGUAAAGGGCUCGUAGGUGGUUUGUCGCGUCGUCUGUGAAAUUCUGGGGCUUAACUCCGGGCGUGCAGGCGAUACGGGCAUAACUUGAGUGCUGUAGGGGUAACUGGAAUUCCUGGUGUAGCGGUGAAAUGCGCAGAUAUCAGGAGGAACACCGAUGGCGAAGGCAGGUUACUGGGCAGUUACUGACGCUGAGGAGCGAAAGCAUGGGUAGCGAACAGGA